rnacentral:rRNA from 1 species
CCUACGGGUGGCAGCAGUGAGGAAUAUUGGUCAAUGGACGAGAGUCUGAACCAGCCAAGUAGCGUGAAGGAUGACUGCCCUAUGGGUUGUAAACUUCUUUUAUAUGGGAAUAAAAUGUUCCACGUGUGUGAUUUUGUAUGUACCAUAUGAAUAAGGAUCGGCUAACUCCGUGCCAGCAGCCGCGGUAAUACGGAGGAUCCUAGCGUUAUCCGGAUUUAUUGGGUUUAAAGGGAGCGUAGGUGGAUUGUUAAGUCAGUUGUGAAAGUUUGCGGCUCAACCGUAAAAUUGCAGUUGAAACUGGCAGUCUUGAGUACAGUAGAGGUGGGCGGAAUUCGUGGUGUAGCGGUGAAAUGCUUAGAUAUUACGAAGAACUCCGAUUGCGAAGGCAGUUCACUGGACUGCAACUGACACUGAGGCUCGAAAGUGUGGGUAUCAAACAGGAUUAGAUACCCUAGUAGUC